UGUAAGAAUUUAGAUAGACUUCCAUUUUGGAAUCUUUACUUUGAUACCUUUUUCUUUUUCUUUAUGUCGGAAUACUAAUUAGGCGGACCCUUGAUAGUAUCAUACUGUACAAAAGAGAAGGAAAAUGAAGAUAAAUAUUAAGGGGUCGUUUGGUCGGGAACAAUGGUAUAAAUGAUGGAAUAAAUUAUUUCAGACUUGACAAUCAAACAAGACGCCAAAUUUAUAUCCGAGGACUAUUUAAUUUAUCUCUCUAACCAAACGACCCUAAGUUGAUCACCUCCUAUAUCAUAAGAGAAAAAAAAGUUCCACUCUUACAUAAUAUUAUUACAAAAAGGACUAAUGUAGGUGCUCAUAAUAUCUUCUGCAUUCACACCUAUCAAUUGCACUUUCACACAGACUGACUAGAAUCUAACCAAUAUGCAGAUUGAUACUGUAAAAGUCACCUAAAUAAAAAAGAUCAUGCACCUAGUCCGAUAAAUAUAUAUACUAUGAAUCUAAAUAAUUAAGUUUAAUUUUUCUCAGACUUUUAUCAAACAACUGUAACACGUAAUGGAUUUAAGUUAUAAUAUCCGAUCAAUAUUAUAGCGCAGAGUUGAUUUCUCCUACGGUGAAUCGACUAGUAGUAGUUAUUAUUAUUGAAGAAAUAUUGAAAUCUAUACGAAAAACGACUAUGUGAAAUAAUAAUAUAUUAAUUAGUUGAGUGACCAUCUUAAUUAAAAGGACAUAACGCGCGCAACGAAUCAUGAUAAUUGAACAAACACAUUUAGUAUCGGUGUUGCGUAUGAUAGAUUAUCAAGCUUUGCGGAGAGGCUGUAAUUUUGACGGGUUGUGGCAUGUCUUAUUGCAGCCAAUUCUCAUCUGCCAGUCUGUUAUGAGUAAGAUUUUGCUUUGGAUUCUCUGAAUACAAAGAAUCAUGGUAUUUCAUUCAACAUGCAUUUGCAUUUGUUCCUCUAGCAGACGUGGGUCUUCUCUUAUUUUGAUCCUCUCAUUUUUUUCCAUUUUUUUUUAACCACAAAAGGUAGAUAUUAUAUUUAUAGUACUACUGCGUACAGGUGCUCCCCUACAUAUAUGUCAUUCAACCAAGUAAUAGAAAAAUCAGUUAACUAAAUUAUGUGCUAGUUUGUUUGGACUUCUACUAGCUAAGUAGUUUUCAAGACUAUCUAAAGUCACAAUACUAAUACCUGAGCGUUGUGUUUUAACAACAAUAACAUAUUCAGUAUAAACAUACAAAGUGAAUUUUGUAGUGUAUAAAAGAUAAUCUAUAAUAAUAGAAACAACCAAUAGGAACAAAAUAAUAUGUUAAUGACUAGUCUGAUACAAGAAAUAACAUAUAGUAAUUAUUAUCAAAGGCCAAUAAACUACUGGAGUAAUUCUAUCUGGGGGGUUGUUAAUGGGCUGAUCCAAAAUUGAGGAUAAGUGAAGAAUCAAAAAAUAUCUUUAUGCUCAUAAUAGUGAAAUGGCGACUUAGAGGCAAAAAUAUCUUUAUUCUUUUUAGACUUUGGUAGAUUUCCAAAGGAUUUUAUACCUCACGUCUUUCUCAAUUGAACCAUCAAUUGAAUCACUGUCACAUAAAAAGUUAAGGCACCGUUACAUUACUGUCACUUAAUUGCAAAAAAUGGGGCAUAAGUGUCCCCCCUAGGUUUCAAUGCUUAAUUACGUUAUAAUUUCUCUUAAAUGGUGCAAUCAGGCCAUGUACACAAUUUUGUUUACUUGAAAGUCAAUAUUCCUAAUAAAAAGAAGAUAUCCUUCCGAUGCCCAACUCUGUCGAUCAAUACAUGUGGAACGUUUUGAAGAAUUUCGGUCCUACAACUCUUGGAAGAUGGAGAUGUCGCAAAGACAUGUUUUAGAGGAGUUACAAAAUUUACCCGCCUACGUUUGAACCAGAUGAUCAAUACAUGCAUGACAUGUGUUUGUGCAUAGACUUCUAUCGAUUAGUAAGCUCUGUGAUUUGGUUGUUCGUUGUAUACAGGGAUUAAGUUACGUAAUUAUAUUUCUUUCC